rnacentral:snRNA from 1 species
AGCUUUGUGCAGUGACAGUAUUGUAGCCAAUGAGCUUUAUCCAAGGUGCAGUUAUUGCUAAUUGAAAACUUUCUCCAGUAUCCUGCUGUGGUAACUAGAAAUAUAAAAGAUUGU